AGCUCCCUUCGGGGAGUGCAUAAAGUGGCGCACGGGUGAGUAACACGUAAGUAAUCUACCCUCGGGUGGGGAAUAACGUUCGGAAACGGACGCUAAUACCGCAUAAUGCAGCGGCACCGCAAGGUGACAGUUGUUAAAGAUUUAUUGCCUGGGGAGGAGCUUGCGGCAGAUUAGCUUGUUGGUAAGGUAACGGCUUACCAAGGCUACGAUCUGUAUCCGGUCUAAGAGGACGGUCGGACACACUGACACUGAAUAACGGGUCAGACUCCUACGGGAGGCAGCAGUCGGGAAUUUUGGGCAAUGGGGGAAACCCUGACCCAGCAACGCCGCGUGAAGGAUGAAGUAUUUCGGUAUGUAAACUUCGAAAGAAUAGGAAGAAUUAAUGACGGUACUAUUUAUAAGGUCCGGCUAACUACGUGCCAGCUGCCGCGGUAAUACGUAGGGACCAAGCGUUGUUCGGAUUUACUGGGCGUAAA
rnacentral:rRNA from 1 species